ACCGGCCCGCAGCGCGCGCGCCCGCACGGGCCACCGACAGGUGGGCCCCACCUGUCGGGGGCGUCUUCCCCGCAGGGAUGUCGACGCAGAUCGCGCCGGCCACCGCGCGCCGCCGCCAUCCGCGCCGCUGACUCCGUGCCCCUCUCCACUUUCCAAGCACGCCACUAUAAAGCGCGACGCAGCCGUUCUUUUCCCCCUUUUCCCCCCUGCUGAUUGCGCCGCCAAACCGCCACGAUCUCUCGCCGGCAAACCUUCGGCCGCCGCCGUUUCUCGCUCCUCUCCGACGAACCACGAGCCGUCGGGAGCCGCCGCUCGAGCUCGCCGGAGCCCGUGCUCGCGCCGCCGUCGCCAUUGCCGUCCUAGGCGCCCGCGCAGCCAUCCCCGAGGAGAACCGCCGCCUGUAGGAUCUGUCCAGUAUACAUAAUCCGCCCGAUGUCACCUAUAUUGAAGAAAUCAAUUUCCAACAUGCUGUGUUGUCUCCAUGAAUCUGAACCAAGACCGUGGCGGAUCUAGGUUUUUGUUCAACCAGUGAAGUUUAUCGUUUUCUUGUAUGAGAACCAACGAAUCUAUGAAUUUGGGUUUCAUCUCGCAUCAA